rnacentral:rRNA from 1 species
ACUUCUUUCCAUGCCACGUUGAAUACAUCGGUUCUCAUCCGAUCACCGAAGUUAAGCAACGUCGGGCGCGGUCAGUACCCGCCUGGGAUCACCGCGUGACGUUAGCU